rnacentral:sRNA from 1 species
UGAUGUAAGGGUCAAAAGGUAAAAGAACCGUUCGUGCUUGCACGAUAAGGCUUUUGACUUUUUGACCUGCCUAAUACCGAAAACAGAAUAAAAAGGCGUAGAAUACGACUUUUUAUGGGAGUUUGAGGUAUUGGAUGAUUGCGUAGCAAUCCGUGUACAUCA